AGAGUUUGAUCAUGGCUCAGAACGAACGCUGGCGGCAGGCUUAACACAUGCAAGUCGAGCGAUCGCAGCAAUGCGGGAGCGGCAGACGGGUGAGUAACGCGUGGGAACAUACCCUUCGGUUCGGAAUAACUCAGGGAAACUUGAGCUAAUACCGGAUACGGACGAGAGUCGAAAGAUUUAUCGCCGAAGGAUUGGCCCGC
rnacentral:rRNA from 1 species